ACCAUAGCAACUCCAGGCAGUCUUCUCUCCUGCCCCACUAUAUUCAGCCAACCCAUCUAAGCCUGAUGUGCCAAGGGACCUAUAACCCCCAAAGUUGAAGCAAAGUGGCACAGGAGCCUUCCUUGGGGAAUGCUUCAUGCUGUGGUGACCCUAUCUCAGUUGGGCCUGACUCAAGAAAGCAGAACUUUUGCACAGUUUUCAAAAGUGCAAAUAGUACAACACUUUCUCCACCACCUUUCAGUGACUGCCUCUCCCUAUCACCCUGCAAUCAGUGACAAGAGGGUCAGUCGGGAGCGUUGUCCGGCAGUCUUGUCUCAGCUCUGAAUAUCCAAGACUUCAGUCUGGAUUUGCAUUGGCAUUUGUUUCCACCAGAGAGAUAGAAGAAAUAAUAGGAACACCAAAAGCCCUUCGAUGGGCAAAAACCACAUACAGCUGACAAACAGAAACAAAAGGAACUUUCAAUACAAUAGAGCCUGAAUUUGAUUAUGAAGAAACAUUAAACCCAGACUGUGAAACAUUCUUCAGAAUAACCGAGAGAUACUCUUCAAAAAUGUCAAAGUCAUGAAGGACAAGGAAAGACCCUGAAACUGUCCCAGAUAAAGGCAGUAAAUAUACAUGUCAUAUAACUGA